rnacentral:rRNA from 1 species
AUUGAACGCUGGCGGCAGGCCUAACACAUGCAAGUCGAGCGGAUGAAGGUAGCUUGCUACCUGAUUCGACGGCGGACGGGUGAGUAAUGCCUAGGAAUCUGCCUGGUAGUGGGGGACAACGUUUCGAAAGGAACGCUAAUACCGCAUACGUCCUACGGGAGAAAGUGGGGGAUCUUCGGACCUCACGCUAUCAGAUGAGCCUAGGUACGAUUAGCUAGUUGGUGAGGUAAAGGCUCACCAAGGCGACGAUCGUUAACUGGUCUGAGAGGAUGAUCAGUCACACUGGAACUGAGACACGGUCCAGACUCCUACGGGAGGCAGCAGUGGGGAAUAUUGGACAAUGGGCGAAAGCCUGAUCCAGCCAUGCCGCGUGUGUGAAGAAGGUCUUCGGAUUGUAAAGCACUUUAAGUUGGGAGGAAGGGCAGUAAGUUAAUACCUUGCUGUUUUGACGUUACCGACAGAAUAAGCACCGGCUAACUUCGUGCCAGCCGCCGCAGUAAAAC